UGGGGAAUCUUGCGCAAUGGGCGAAAGCCUGACGCAGCGACGCCGCGUGGGCGACGAAGGCCUUCGGGUUGUAAAGCCCUGUGGGGCGGGACGAACGAAUCCGGGGUGAACAAUCCCGGGUUGUGACGGUACCGCCUUAGCAAGCACCGGCUAACUCUGUGCCAGCAGCCGCGGUAAGACAGAGGGUGCAAACGUUGCUCGGAAUUACUGGGCGUAAAGCGCGUGUAGGCGGUUACGCGAGUCAGGUGUGAAAGCCCAGGGCUCAACCCUGGAAGUGCACUUGAUACUACGUAGCUGGAGUCCUGUAGAGGAGAGCGGAAUUCCCGGUGUAGAGGUGAAAUUCGUAGAUAUCGGGAGGAACACCAGUGGCGAAGGCGGCUCUCUGGACAGGUACUGACGCUGAGACGCGAAAGCGUGGGUAGCAAACAGGAUUAGAUACCCCCGUAGUCC
rnacentral:rRNA from 1 species